AUUGAACGCUGGCGGCAGGCUUAACACAUGCAAGUCGAACGAGCGGCGGCCGGGUGAGUAAUGUAUGGGAAACUGCCUGAUGGAGUGGGAUAACUACUGGAAACGGUAGCUAAUACCGCAUACCAUCAGAUGUGCCCAUAUGGGAGUAGCUAGUAGGAGGGGUAAAGGCUCACAAAGGCGACGAUCCGUAGCUGGUCUGAGAGGAUGACCAGCCACACUGGAACUGAGACACGGUCCAGACGCCUACGGGAGGCAGCAGUGGGGAAUAUUGCAAAAUGGGCGAAAGCCUGAUCCAGCCAUGCCGCGUGUAUGAAGAAGGCCUUCGGGUUGUAAAGUACUUUCAGCGGGGAGGCGUUACCCGCAGAAGAAGCACCGGCUAACUCCGUGCCAGCAGCCGCGGUAAUAC
rnacentral:rRNA from 1 species